rnacentral:rRNA from 1 species
AGAGUUUGAUCCUGGCUCAGAUUGAACGCUGGCGGCAGGCUUAACACAUGCAAGUCGAGCGGAUGAAGGUAGCUUGCUACUGGAUUCAGCGGCGGACGGGUGAGUAAUGCUUAGGAAUCUGCCUAUUAGUGGGGGACAACGUUCCGAAAGGAGCGCUAAUACCGCAUACGUCCUACGGGAGAAAGCAGGGGACCUUUGGGCCUUGCGCUAAUAGAUGAGCCUAAGUCGGAUUAGCUAGUUGGUAGGGUAAAGGCCUACCAAGGCGACGAUCUGUAGCGGGUCUGAGAGGAUGAUCCGCCACACUGGGACUGAGACACGGCCCAGACUCCUACGGGAGGCAGCAGUGGGGAAUAUUGGACAAUGGGGGGAACCCUGAUCCAGCCAUGCCGCGUGUGUGAAGAAGGCCUUUUGGUUGUCAAGCACUUUAAGCGAGGAGGAGGCUACCUAGAUUAAUACUUUAGGAUAGUCGGACGUUACUCGCAGAAUAAGCACCGGCUAACUCUGUGCCAGCAGCCGCGGUAAUACAGAGGGUGCGAGCGUUAAUCGGAUUUACUGGGCGUAAAGCGUGCGUAGGCGGCCAAUUAAGUCAAAUGUGAAAUCCCCGAGCUUAACUUGGGAAUUGCAUUUCGAUACUGGUUGGCUAGAGUAUGGGAGAGGAUGGUAGAAUUCCAGUGUAGCGGUGAAAUGCGUAGAGAUCUGGAGGAAUACCGAUGGCGAAGCAGCCAUCUGGCCCUAAUACUGACGCUGAGGUACGAAAGCAUGGGGAGCAAACAGGAUUAGAUACCCUGGUAGUCCAUGCCGUAACGAUGUCUACUAGCCGUUGGGGCCCUUGAAGGCUUAAUGGCGCACUUACGCCGAUAAGUAGACCGCCUGGGGAGUACAGUCGCCAGACUAAAACUC